rnacentral:rRNA from 1 species
AUUGAACGCUGGCGGCAUGCCUAACACAUGCAAGUCGAACGGUAACAGAUAAGAUGAUCUCUUCGGAGUGAAUUUUUGCUGACGAGUGGCGGACGGGUGAGUAAUGCUUGGGAAUCUGCCCAAUAGUGGGGGAAAACUCGGGGAAACCCGGGCUAAUACCGCAUAAUCUCUACGGAGGAAAGAGGGCCUCUACUUGUAAGCUCUUGCUAAUGGAUGAGCCCAAGUCAGAUUAGCUUGUUGGUAAGGUAAUGGCUUACCAAGGCUACGAUCUGUAGCUGGUCUGAGAGGAUGAUCAGCCACACUGGGACUGAGACACGGCCCAGACUCCUACGGGAGGCAGCAGUGGGGAAUAUUGCACAAUGGGCGCAAGCCUGAUGCAGCAAUGCCGCGUGUGUGAAGAAGGCUCUAGGGUUGUAAAGCACUUUCAAUAGGGAAGAAAAGUUUGAAGUUAAUAACUUCAAGCCUUGACGUAACCUAUACAAGAAGCACCGGCUAAUUCCGUG